rnacentral:rRNA from 1 species
CAAGGGCGUAUAUUAAUGUUGUUGCAGUUAAAAAGCUCGUAGUUGGAUUUCUGGUGGGAGCGAUUGGUCUGCCCCGCGAGGGGUAUGUUACCGGUUUGUAUCCGGCCCUAUUCGGGUUGAUCGUGGCUGGCAUUAAUUUGUCGGUGCGGGAGGCCCGUCGUUUACUGUGAACAAAUUAGAGUGUUCAAAGCAAGGUGUUCUUGAAUACAUUAGCAUGGAAUAAUGAGAUAGGACUUUGGUGGUUCGUGCUUUUUUGAGGUACGAUAUUUUGUUGGUUUGCACGCCAAAGUAAUGAUUAAUAGGAGCAGUUGGGGGUAUUCGUAUUCAAUUGUCAGAGGUGAAAUUCUUGGAUUUCUAGAAGACGAACUACUGCGAAAGCAUUUACCAAGGAUGUUUUCAUUAA